rnacentral:tRNA from 1 species
GCCGGUGUGGCGGAAUUGGCAGACGCGUGCGAUUCAAAAUCGCAUGGACUUUAGUCCUUGUGGGUUCGACUCCCACCACCGGCACCA